rnacentral:rRNA from 1 species
AUUGAGCGCUGGCGGCAGGCCUAACACAUGCAAGUCGAGCGGAUGAGUGGAGCUUGCUCCAUGAUUCAGCGGCGGACGGGUGAGUAAUGCCUAGGAAUCUGCCUGGUAGUGGGGGACAACGUUUCGAAAGGAACGCUAAUACCGCAUACGUCCUACGGGAGAAAGCAGGGGACCUUCGGGCCUUGCGCUAUCAGAUGAGCCUAGGUCGGAUUAGCUAGUAGGUGAGGUAAUGGCUCACCUAGGCGACGAUCCGUAACUGGUCUGAGAGGAUGAUCAGUCACACUGGAACUGAGACACGGUCCAGACUCCUACGGGAGGCAGCAGUGGGGAAUAUUGGACAAUGGGCGAAAGCCUGAUCCAGCCAUGCCGCGUGUGUGAAGAAGGUCUUCGGAUUGUAAAGCACUUUAAGUUGGGGGGAAGGGCAGUAAGUUAAUACCUUGCUGUUUUGACGUUACCAACAGAAUAAGCACCGGCUAACUUCGUGCCAGCAGCCGCGGUAAAAC